rnacentral:rRNA from 1 species
UCCAGACUCCUACGGGAGGCAGCAGUGGGGGAUAUUGCACAAUGGGGGAAACCCUGAUGCAGCGACGCCGCGUGGGUGAAGGAGUGCUUCGGCAUGUAAAGCCCUAUCGGCAGGGAAGAAGCAAGACGGUACCUGAAGAAGAAGCCCCGGCUAACUACGUGCCAGCAGCCGCGGUAAUACGUAGGGGGCAAGCGUUAUCCGGAUUUACUGGGUGUAAAGGGGGCGCAGACGGCGAUGCAAGCCAGGAGUGAAAGCCCGGGGCCCAACCCCGGGACUGCUCUUGGAACUGCGUGGCUGGAGUGCAGGAGGGGCAGGCGGAAUUCCUGGUGUAGCGGUGAAAUGCGUAGAUAUCAGGAGGAACACCGGUGGCGAAGGCGGCCUGCUGGACUGCAGCUGGCGUUGAGGCCCGAAAGCGUGGGGAGCAAACAGGAUUAGAUACCCUAGUAU